GAAGGCAGUCGUUUAACCAACUGAGCCACCCAGGCGCCCUAACUCUGCCUUUUCUGAUUCUGCCCUUGAGAAGGCUCAGCUAGAAAUUGAGAAACUGAAAGAAAAUUUGACAAAACUGAAAGAAAAUGAUUCAGUUGACCUACAGAAAGCAAGGGAACAUAAUCAGAGACUGGAUGAGGAAAUUCUGG